UCGAGAUGCUUCGACGCUUCCUGCGAUCCUUUCUUAAACCCCAAGUCUGCUAAGGCGAGGCGAGGAGGAAGAGGGGACAGGACAUGGCUUUUGGGCAAGCUGUGAUCGGACCGCCAGGGUCUGGAAAGACCACCUACUGCAAUGGCAUGUCCCAAUUUCUCAAACUUAUUGGCAGAAAAGUGGUUGUCGUCAAUUUGGAUCCGGCAAAUGAUUCAUUACCAUAUGAGUGUGCCGUCAAUAUUGAGGAUCUAAUAAAACUUAGUGAUGUUAUGGUGGAGCAUUCUCUUGGUCCAAAUGGAGGUCUUGUAUAUUGCAUGGAUUACUUGGAGAAGAAUAUGGAUUGGUUAGAGUCCAAGCUGAAACCUUUUCUUGAUGACCACUACUUCCUAUUUGAUUUUCCUGGUCAGGUUGAACUCUUCUUUCUUCAUUCAAACACAAAGAAUAUCAUCACUAAACUUGUGAAGAAGUUGGAUCUCCGGUUGACGGCAGUUCACCUAAUUGAUGCUCACCUAUGCUGUGACCCUGGAAAAUAUGUCAGCGGAUUGAUACUUUCAUUAACAACCAUGUUACAUCUGGAAUUGCCCCACAUUAAUGUCCUCUCCAAAAUUGAUCUCAUUGAGAACUAUGGAAAGCUUGUUUAUAACCUGGAAUUCUAUACCGAUGUUGAAGAUUUAUCUUAUUUGCAGUACCAUCUUGAUCAGGAUCCUCGUUCAUCCAAAUACAGGAAGCUGACCAAGGAGCUAUGCGAUAUCAUUGAAGAUUUUGGCCUCGUCAACUUCUCAACAUUAGACAUUCAGGACAAAGAAAGCGUUGGUAAUCUUGUGAAGCAGAUUGAUAAAAGCAAUGGAUAUAUAUUCGACAGCAUACAGGGCAGUGUUGUCGAGUUCAGCAAAAUAGCAGCUGCACCACUCGACUGGGACUAUUACAGAACUGCAGCCGUACAGGAGAAGUACAUGAAGGAUGAAUAGUUAUGCAGGUUGCAGAAACCACCAACAAGGAGCUGGUGAUGCGGCUCGAGACCACUUCCUAGAUUCAGAUGGUUGCUAGCUAGAACUUUGUUGGUCUUUCAACCUGACUGGAGUUGAUUGACAAUCGUCCGAGUUGAUCGAAUUAUGGGUAAGAUGUGAUUACCCUUCUACAAACUUGACAGCUUAAAAGAAUUGCUUAUCAAGUACAAUAAACGAAUGUAAGAUAUUAUGCUGAAUCAGUCCUUACCAAAGUAUGAUUUUGUGCAUUUCCUCUGAGUUUGGUUGCUUGGAGAAUUUAUAAUCAUAUUUAGACAUAAUGUAGUUCUUUGUGA